GCCGGGACCCCGCCGGCCGCCAGCGCCCAGAGCCCGCGCUGUGCGCAGGCGCAGAACCCGCAGCCGUCGAGUCAGAUUUCGCUGCGAGGGGGCGGCGGGGGAGAGUUGAAAGCGGCUCGGCGGCGCCGCGGCCUCGGCCGGGCCGGGAAGGGGGGGCGGAGGGCCGGACGGAGCGGGGGGGCUGGUUUUGGGGCGGCUCUCGGGUCGGAAACAUGGCGGCCGGAUGCGAACCCCCGCGGAGCGCAGCAAAGCGCUGACGGCGGGCUGCCGAACUGUUGUGUGGUUUCAACUCCCUUUUAUUCCUCGGCUCGGAGCGCCUCGCGGGAGAAUGACAAUGGCGGGGCGCGUGAGCGGAGCACGGAGGCACCGUUUCCAAACCGGGUGCCCUGGAUUAGCCGCACGGAUAUGUCAUUGCGAGUUCGAACCCUACACGUUGCUCAGGCCCCGUUUUCUGCAUAUCUCAUUUAAACGCGGGCCUAUGAAAAAUAGCACUGUGUGCGCUUUUGUGUGUGCUGUUAACAGC
ensembl:lncRNA